UACGGCCAUAUCACUCUGAAACACCGGUUCUCGUAUAGAUCACCGAAGUUAAGCAACGUUGUAGUCCGUCAGCACCUAGACGGGUAACCUCUUGGGAAUACCAGAUG